ACGAACGCUGGCGGCGUGCUUAACACAUGCAAGUCGAACGGUGAAAGAGGAGCUUGCUCCUCUGGAUCAGUGGCGAACGGGUGAGUAACACGUGAGCAAUCUGCCCUUCACUCUGGGAUAACCUCGGGAAACCGAAGCUAAUACCGGAUACGACGCACGGAGGCAUCUCCUGUGUGUGGAAAGAAUUUUGGUGGAGGAUGAGCUCGCGGCCUAUCAGGUAGUUGGUGAGGUAAUGGCUCACCAAGCCGACGACGGGUAGCCG
rnacentral:rRNA from 1 species